GAACGCUGGCGGCAUGCCUUACACAUGCAAGUCGACCCUUAACAGGUCUUCGGAUGCUGACGAGUGGCGAACGGGUGAGUAAUACAUCGGAACGUGCCCAGUAAUGGGGGAUAUCUCGGCGAAAGCCGGAUUAAUACCGCAUACGCCCUGAGGGGGAAAGUGGGGGAUCGCAAGACCUCACGUUAUUGGAGCGGCCGAUGGCUGAUUAGCUAGUUGGUAGGGUAAAGGCCUACCAAGGCGACGAUCAGUAGCUGGUCUGAGAGGACGAUCAGCCACACUGGGACUGAGACACGGCCCAGACUCCUACGGGAGGCAGCAGUGGGGAAUUUUGGACAAUGGGGGAAACCCUGAUCCAGCAAUGCCGCGUGUGCGAAGAAGGCCUUCGGGUUGGAAAGCACUUUUGUCAGGGAAUAUUUCCUUUGGGCUAAUACCCUAGGGGGAUGACGGUACCUGAAGAAUAAGCACCGGCUAACUACGUGCCAGCAGCCGCGGUAAUACGUAGGGUGCAAGCGUUAAUCGGAAUUACUGGGCGUAAAGCGUGCGCAGGCGGUUGUGUAAGACAGGUGUGAAAUCCCCGGGCUUAACCUGAGAAUUGCGUUUGUGACUGCACGACUAGAGUGUGUCCGAGGGGGGUGGAAUUCCACGUGUAGCAGUGAAAAUGGGUAGAUAUGGGGAGGAACACCCAAUGGGCGAAGGGCGCCCCCUGGGGAUAACACUGACGCCCAUGGCCCGAAAGCGUGGGGGAGCAAACAGGAUUAGAUACCCUGGUAGUCCACGCCCUAAACGAUGUCAACUAGUUGUUGGGGGAUUUACUUCCUUGGUAACGUAGCUAACGCGUGAAGUUGACCGCCUGGGGAGUACGGCCGCAAGGUUAAAACUCAAAGGAAUUGACGGGGACCCGCACAAGCGGUGGAUGAUGUGGAUUAAUUCGAUGCAACGCGAAAAACCUUACCUACCCUUGACAUGGCAGGAACUUUCCAGAGAUGGAUUGGUGCUCGAAAGAGAACCUGCACACAGGUGCUGCAUGGCUGUCGCCAGCUCGUGUCGUGAGAUGUUGGGUUAAGUCCCGCAACGAGCGCAACCCUUGUCAUUAGUUGCUACGAAAGGGCACUCUAAUGAGACUGCCGGUGACAAACCGGAGGAAGGUGGGGAUGACGUCAAGUCCUCAUGGCCCUUAUGGGUAGGGCUUCACACGUCAUACAAUGGUCGGUACAGAGGGUUGCCAAGCCGCGAGGUGGAGCCAAUCCCAGAAAACCGAUCGUAGUCCGGAUCGCAGUCUGCAACUCGACUGCGUGAAGUCGGAAUCGCUAGUAAUCGCGGAUCAGAAUGCCGCGGUGAAUACGUUCCCGGGUCUUGUACACACCGCCCGUCACACCAUGGGAGUGGGUUCUACCAGAAGUGGCUAGUCUAACCGCAAGGAGGACGGUCACCACGGUAGGAUU
rnacentral:rRNA from 1 species